UAUCUCUGUAGAGUCUGCAUAUCAAUAAGCGGAGGAAAAGAAACUAACUAGGAUUCCCUUAGUAACGGCGAGUGAAGCGGGAAGAGCUCAAAUUUGAAAUCUUCAAGGUUCUACCUUGACGAAUUGUAGUUUAAAGAAGUGUUUUCGGUUAGAUGGAGUAGUAAAAGUUCUUUGGAAUAGGACAUCAUAGAGGGUGAGAAUCCCGUAUUUGGUCAUUCCUUCCUAGCGUUGUGAUACACUUUCAAAGAGUCGGAUUGUUUGGGAAUGCAGUCCAAAAUGGGUGGUAAAUUUCAUCUAAAGCUAAAUAUUGGCGAGAGACCGAUAGCGAACAAGUACCGUGAGGGAAAGAUGAAAAGAACUUUGAAAAGAGAGUUAAACAGUACGUGAAAUUGUCAAAAGGGAAGCGUUUGACACCAGUGUUGUUUUUCCGAAAAUCAAUUAAGAAUGUUUUAUUUUUGAGGAGUUAUGACUUCAUCGGCUUGCUCCUUUCUUUAUGGAACUUUCUUAAUGCACUUUUCGGUUAACAAGUCAACAUCAAUUUCUUUUGUUGUAAAAGAGUAUGAGGAAGGUGGCUUUCUUUUCGGAGAAAGUGUUUAUAGCCUUGUACUUCUGCAAUCGGAGAGAUUGAGGUCUGCAGCGUAGAUCCUUCGGGGUUAGAUACACUUGUGCUAAGUUAUAGCUUUUCAUAGACAACUUGUUGAUUAUGAUUAGUCUUGUAGCUUACUCGCUUGUGCUAUUUUACCUACGCUUAGGAUGUUGAGUAGCGACAUACGCAC
rnacentral:rRNA from 1 species